rnacentral:misc_RNA from 1 species
AAGAUAGGCUCUUUUCUUUAUCGUCCGUCACCUCACCGGCAGCUGAGGAACAAGCUCUUGGUCGGGAUGGUGGAGGCAUAUCUGCCAAUGUUCAAGGUAGACAAAGGAAGGGCAGGGGAGGUCCAAGAGAUGCAAAGAGAAUGAGGCAUUCAAGUGAACCAGACUAUGACUAUGAAGAUGAUCCAGAUCUAAUGUAAUUUGGACUCUGGUGAAACGGUAGGUUUGUCGAUUUUGGAAUGAUAAAAUUGUCGAUUUUGACAUGUACAAAUAUAUUUGGCGGCCUAGAAUUGUAUUUCUUUAGUAUCGGCGGACAUCAGAUUAAAAAGAUAUUGUAUCACAGUGCAUAUUUUU